rnacentral:ncRNA from 17 species
GCACGAGACCACGGGUGUCCGCCCGCGCCACCCACCUAGUAAGCAUGCUCUAUUUGAGCCUCCUUGCUCGGUCGAGGUGGCGCGCUGGGUGGGCUGAGACUGAGACCGUUGGAACUUGACCACGUUCAUACGUGCGAAAGGAGUGUCUUGUCCCGCGCCA